CUCCGUCCCAAAAUAAGUAUAGCCAUAGUUUUCUGCGUCUAAAUUUGACCAUUCGUCUUAUUUAAAAAAUUUUAAAAAAAAAUUAAAAACACAAGUCACGAGUAAAGUACUAUUAAAGCUUUAUCAUCUUAUAACAAUAAAAAUACUAAUUAUAAAAAAAAAUUAAAUAAGACGAACGAUUAAAGUUGGACGCGGAAACUCAUGGCUGCACUUAUUUUGGGACAGAGGUA
rnacentral:pre_miRNA from 1 species